CCUCCUAAAGAGUAACGGAGGAGCACGAAGGUUGGCUAAUCCUGGUCGGACAUCAGGAGGUUAGUGCAAUGGCAUAAGCCAGCUUGACUGCGAGCGUGACGGCGCGAGCAGGUGCGAAAGCAGGUCAUAGUGAUCCGGUGGUUCUGAAUGGAAGGGCCAUCGCUCAACGGAUAAAAGGUACUCCGGGGAUAACAGGCUGAUACCGCCCAAGAGUUCAUAUCGACGGCGGUGUUUGGCACCUCGAUGUCGGCUCAUCACAUCCUGGGGCUGAAGUAGGUCCCAAGGGUAUGGCUGUUCGCCAUUUAAAGUGGUACGCGAGCUGGGUUUAGAACGUCGUGAGACAGUUCGGUCCCUAUCUGCCGUGGGCGCUGGAGAACUGAGGGGGGCUGCUCCUAGUACGAGAGGACCGGAGUGGACGCAUCACUGGUGUUCGGGUUGUCAUGCCAAUGGCACUGCCCGGUAGCUAAAUGCGGAAGAGAUAAGUGCUGAAAGCAUCUAAGCACGAAACUUGCCCCGA
rnacentral:rRNA from 3 species